UCCUCAAAGAGAAAUAGAGAGAGAUCAAAAUCAAACCAGGGAAGCCAAUGGCACCACCUCCUCUUCCUUCUCUUGUCCUCCUCAACCUUGUCCUCAUUCUCAUAUUGACAUAUCCACAAACAUCAUCAACAUCAUGCAGCCACACAUGUGGCUCAUUACAGGUCAAGUACCCCUUCGGAACAGGCCCUGGGUGUGGGUCCCCACUCUUCAACCCUUACAUAACAUGCAAAUCAAACGGCACAGGUGACCAACUCUUCCUCAAAACUCACACAGGUUCAUACCCUAUAACCUCCAUAUCCUACACAACUUCAACACUCACACUCACACCACACUCCAUGUCCACAUGCACCAUCAUGCAAACCUCACCCAACUUGGGCCUUGACUGGACCACCCCUUUCCAAAUCAGUUCCUCAACCUUCAUCCUUCUCUCUUGUAAACCCCCAACCUCAUCCCUCUCCAUCAGAGGCUCACCCAUCUGUGACCUUUCCUUGGAUUAUCUAUGUGCUUCCAUUUACACGUGUCCUGCUGUGGAGGCACUUGGCUUGUCUCUGUUCCCUCCUACCAACACGUGUUGUGUUUACUCGCCGGCGAACCUCGACGGCAAGGGGGAGUUGGACCUGAGUGAAAUGAAGUGUGGUGCUUAUGCUUCAGUGAUGUCGCUUGGGGAUAACCCCAUUGACCCUACACGCUGGGUCUAUGGAGUGGCGUUGAAGUACUCUUAUGGUGCUUUCGAUACCAACUAUGCGACCACCAAAUGUAAUAGUUGUGAGUAUAGCGGUGGGUUGUGCGGUUAUGCUCCUCCGGGAAAUGGAUUUGUAUGUGUUUGUAAAGGAGGGUAUAACACUAGCCUAGAUUGCUCGGGGAAUUACAACCAGAACCAGGACUUCCUUUGGACCUCUAUCUCUUCUCACAUGUCCACGGCUGUGUAUGUUUGGAGUUCCAUUUUGGCUGGUAUCAUUUCGAGCUUAGUGUGAUCAGGGGCUGAUGUUGCUGUGUUGAUUAUUAGCUCCUGUUAAGACAUUCAGUGGAGGGCAUUGUCAGCCCUUUUUAAAUGCGCAUAAGUUGCUUUAGAAAAGUGAUUUAAACGAAAGGAAUAAAGAUGAUGCACUCUUUCUUUUUCCCUGCAGAGAACCGGUUUUGCAAACUACACCUUCUCCAUCCUAUCCCAGAAAAAAAUACCACAUGGCUGAUAACUGUGAUAAAUUG